UACAGAGGGGGCAAGCGUUGUUCGGAAUUACUGGGCGUAAAGGGCGCGUAGGCGGCCUUCUAAGUCAUGCGUGAAAUCCCCGGGCUCAACCCGAGAACUGCGUCUGAUACUGGAAGGCUCGAAUCCGGGAGAGGGAUGUGGAAUUCCAGGUGUAGCGGUGAAAUGCGUAGAUAUCUGGAGGAACACCGGUGGCGAAGGCGGCAUCCUGGACCGGCAUUGACGCUGAGGCGCGAAAGCUAGGGGAGCAAACGGG
rnacentral:rRNA from 1 species